rnacentral:rRNA from 1 species
UAGGGAAUCUUCGGCAAUGGACGAAAGUCUGACCGAGCAACGCCGCGUGAGUGAAGAAGGUUUUCGGAUCGUAAAACUCUGUUGUUAGAGAAGAACAAGGACGUUAGUAACUGAACGUCCCCUGACGGUAUCUAACCAGAAAGCCACGGCUAACUACGUGCCAGCAGCCGCGGUAAUACGUAGGUGGCAAGCGUUGUCCGGAUUUAUUGGGCGUAAAGCGAGCGCAGGCGGUUUCUUAAGUCUGAUGUGAAAGCCCCCGGCUCAACCGGGGAGGGUCAUUGGAAACUGGGAGACUUGAGGGCAGAAGAGGAGAGUGGAAUUCCAUGUGUAGCGGUGAAAUGCGUAGAUAUAUGGAGGAACACCAGUUGCGAAGGCGGAUCUAUGGUCUGUAACUGACGCUGAGGCUCGAAAGCGUGGGGAGCAAACAGG